rnacentral:rRNA from 1 species
GUGGAUUAGAUACCCUAGUAGUCCACGCCGUAAACGAUCGAUACUAAGUGUCGGGGGUCAAACCUCGGUGCUGGAGUCAACGCAAUAAGUAUCGCGCCUGAGUAGUACGUUCGCAAGAAUGAAACUCAAAGGAAUUGACGGGGGCCCGCACAAGCGGUGGAGCAUGUGGUUUAAUUCGAAGCAACGCGAAGAACCUUACCAGGUCUUGACAUCGAUCCAAAAGGGACGGAGACGUCCCCAUAGCUAUGGAGAAGACAGGUGGUGCACGGCCGUCGCCAGCU